rnacentral:tRNA from 1 species
GCCCCCGUAGUUCAAUGGAUAGAAUGCUGGCCUCCGAAGCCGGUGAUCCGAGUUCGAAUCUCGGCGGGGGCG